rnacentral:tRNA from 1 species
GAGAAGAUAGCUCAGCAUGGGAGAGCGCCGCUUAACUGCGGAGGUCAUGGGUCCAAAUCCCAUUCUUUUCU